CCUACGGGAGGCAGCAGUAGGGAAUCUUCCGCAAUGGACGAAAGUCUGACGGAGCAACGCCGCGUGAGUGAUGAAGGUUUUCGGAUCGUAAAACUCUGUUGUUAGGGAAGAACAAGUACCGUUCGAAGAGGGCGGUACCUUGACGGUACCUAACGAGAAAGCCACGGCUAACUACGUGCCAGCAGCCGCGGUAAU
rnacentral:rRNA from 1 species